GGAGCGGCCCGGACUGGACUGAGUUACUGGAAUUAAGACUUGUUCUGUGCAUCUGCUCUCCCACAGUGUGGCGCUGGGAGAGGAGAAAACAGCUUCUACGCAGCUGCCUCCAGUUCAACCAAUAAACUGUAGGACCUACUCCUGAUUAGAGGAGAGCAGCGUACUCGGCGUGUGGGCAGCCGAGUUAGGAUUGGCGGAGGAGGACUAUAAAGGAGGAGAGAGACGGCAUUCACCAGGAACAUCUAUGGGGAACAUCUAAGGGAACCCGUGCAGCCCCCGAGAGAGCCGGCCGGCGGUGUGCCGCUCCCCUGCGGAAGUGGGGAAUGUGGCCAGGGGGAACCGCCCUUCCACGGAGGUGGAAGGGAUAGUAGCCAACCCGGGAAGAACCAGCAGCAAACCCGGGGAGGGCCGAGCAGACGAAAGAACAGCGCAGGGUCCUGUGUUGCUCCUCCACGAAGAGGGGGAGCGACAUAAUGGUGCCGUGACUCGGAUAGGAAACCUAGCUCGGAUAGGAAACCUGACUCGGAUAGGAAACCUAGGACGGAUAGCAAACUUAGGAGGGAAGAAACGGGAAGAAACGGGAAGAAUUGGGAAAAUACCGGAGAGAGAGACUAGCAAACAGCCUAGGGAAAAGCCGGACGAAAAAGGAGCCGGAAGAAGCUA